GCCGGAUCAGCCUGCCGCGUGGGUGAAGAAGGCCUUCGGGUUGUAAAGCCCUUUUGUUGGGAAAAAAAUCGUGCUGGUUAAUACCGGGUUGGCCUGACGGUUCCCUAACAAUAAGCCCCGGCUAACUUCGUGCCAGCAGCCGCGGUAAUAAA
rnacentral:rRNA from 1 species